rnacentral:rRNA from 1 species
CUACGUGCCAGCAGCCGCGGUAAUACGGAAGGUUCGGGCGUUAUCCGGAUUUAUUGGGUUUAAAGGGAGCGUAGGCCGGAGAUUAAGUGUGUUGUGAAAUGUAGACGCUCAACGUCUGAAUUGCAGCGCAUACUGGUUUCCUUGAGUACGCACAACGUCGGCGGAAUUCGUCGUGUAGCGGUGAAAUGCUUAGAUAUGACGAAGAACUCCGAUUGCGAAGGCAGCUGACGGGAGCGCAACUGACGCUGAAGCUCGAAGGUGCGGGUAUCGAACAGGAUUAGAUACCCUGGUAGUCCGCACAGUAAACGAUGGAUGCUCGCUGUUGGUACCUAGUAUCAGCGGCUAAGCGAAAGCAUUAAGCAUCCCACCUGGGGAGUACGCCGGCAACGGUGAAACUCAAAGGAAUUGACGGGGGCCCGCACAAGCGGAGGAACAUGUGGUUUAAUUCGAUGAUACGCGAGGAACCUUACCCGGGCUUGAA